rnacentral:tRNA from 1 species
GGCAGCGGAGCCUAAUGGAUAAAGCACGGGCCUGGGAGUCAGAAGGACCUGGGUUCUAAUCUCAGCUCUGCCA